rnacentral:rRNA from 1 species
UACGUAGGCAGCGAGCGUUGUUCGGAGUUACUGGGCGUAAAGGGUGUGUAGGCGGUUCUUUAAGUUUGGUGUGAAAUCUCCCGGCUCAACCGGGAGGGUGCGCCGAAUACUGAGGGACUUCGAGUGCGGGAGAGGAAAGUGGAAUUCCUGGUGUAGCGGUGAAAUGCGUAGAUAUCGUAAGGAAGACCAGUGGCGAAGGGCGGGUCGUCUGGACAGUUCCUGACACUGAGGCACGAAGGC